CACGUAGGGGGCGAGCGUUUGUCCGGAUUUAUUGGGCGUAAAGAGCUCGUAGGCGGUUCGAUAAGUCGGGUGUGAAAACUCUGGGCUCAACUCAGAGACGCCACCCGAUACUGUUGUGACUUGAGUCCGGUAGGGGAGUAUGGAAUUCCCGGUGUAGCGGUGAAAUGCGCAGAUAUCGGGAGGAACACCAGUGGCGAAGGCGGUACUCUGGGCCGGAACUGACGCUGAGGAGCGAAAGCGUGGGUAGCGAACAGG
rnacentral:rRNA from 1 species